UUUAACUGAAGAGUUUGAUCAUGGCUCAGAUUGAACGCUGGCGGCAGGCUUAACACAUGCAAGUCGAGCGGAGAGAGGUAGCUUGCUACUGAUCUUAGCGGCGGACGGGUGAGUAAUGCUUAGGAAUCUGCCUAUUAGUGGGGGACAACAUUUCGAAAGGAAUGCUAAUACCGCAUACGUCCUACGGGAGAAAGCAGGGGAUCUUCGGACCUUGCGCUAAUAGAUGAGCCUAAGUCGGAUUAGCUAGUUGGUGGGGUAAAGGCCUACCAAGGCGACGAUCUGUAGCGGGUCUGAGAGGAUGAUCCGCCACACUGGGACUGAGACACGGCCCAGACUCCUACGGGAGGCAGCAGUGGGGAAUAUUGGACAAUGGGCGCAAGCCUGAUCCAGCCAUGCCGCGUGUGUGAAGAAGGCCUUAUGGUUGUAAAGCACUUUAAGC
rnacentral:rRNA from 1 species